rnacentral:tRNA from 1 species
GCCCUGAUCGCUUAGUUGGUUAAAGCGAAGGUCUCAUACCUUUCGAAUGAAAAGAGCUGAGCCUCGAUAGAGGUGAAAUCCUUAGCCCGCAGUUCGAAUCUGCGUCGGGGCA